rnacentral:rRNA from 1 species
GACGAACGCUGGCGGCGUGCUUAACACAUGCAAGUCGAACGAUGAAGCUGGAGCUUGCUCCGGUGGAUUAGUGGCGAACGGGUGAGUAACACGUGAGCAAUCUGCCCUUGACUCUGGGAUAACUGCGGGAAACUGUAGCUAAUACCGGAUACGAGACCUGAAGGCAUCUUCGGGUCUGGAAAGAAUUUCGGUAAAGGAUGAGCUCGCGGCCUAUCAGCUUGUUGGUGAGGUAAUGGCUCACCAAGGCGACGACGGGUAGCCGGCCUGAGAGGGUGACCGGCCACACUGGGACUGAGACACGGCCCAGACGCCUACGGGAGGCAGCAGUGGGGAAUAGUGCACAAUGGGCGAAAGCCUGAUGCAGCAACGCCGCGUGAGGGAUGAAGGCCUUCGGGUUGUAAACCUCUUUUAGCAGGGAAGAAGCGAAAGUGACGGUACCUGCAGAAAAAGCACCGGCUAACUACGUGCCAGCAGCCGCAGUAA